rnacentral:rRNA from 1 species
AGCUUUUAUACCGCGAAACUGCGAAUGGCUCAUUAUAUAAGUUAUCGUUUACUUGAUAGCACAUUACUACUUGGAUAACCGUGGUAAUUCUAGAGCUAAUACAUGCUAAAAAUCCCGACUUCGGAAGGGAUGUAUUUAUUAGAUUAAAAACCAAUGCCCUUUGGGCUUACAGGUGAUUCAUGAUAACUUCUCGAAUCGCAUGGCCUUGCGCCGGCGAUGGUUCAUUCAAAUUUCUUCCCUAUCAACUUUCGAUGCGAAGGUAUUGUCUUCGCAUGGUUACAACGGGUAACGGAGGGUUAGGGCUCGACCCCGGAGAAGGAGCCUGAGAAACGGCUACUACAUCCAAGGAAGGCAGCAGGCGCGCAAAUUACCCAAUCCCGACACGGGGAGGUAGUGACAAUAAAUACUGAUACAGGGCUCUUUUGGGUCUUGUAAUUGGAAUGAGUACAAUUUAAAUCCCUUAACGAGGAACAAUUGGAGGGCAAGUCUGGUGCCAGCAGCCGCGGUAAUUCCAGCUCCAAUAGCGUAUAUUAAAGUUGGUGUGGUUAAAAAGCUCGUAGUUGAACCUUGGGCCUGGCUGGCCGGUCCCCCUCACCGGGUGCACUGAUCCAACCGGGCCUUUCCCUCUGUGGAACCCCAUGGCCUUCACUGGUCGUGGCGGGGAAACAGGACUUUUACUUUGAAAAAAUUAUAGUGCUCCAGGCAGGCCUUUGCUCGAAUACAUUAUCAUGGAAUUAUAAAAUACGACGCGUGGUUCUAUUUUGUGGGUUCUACGGACCGCCCUAAUUAUUAAUAGGACCAGUCUGGGGCCUCAUUAUUCAUUUGUCAAUGGCUAAAUUUUUGGAUCUUUUGAAGAACUACUCCUGCGAAAGUUCUUGCCAGGGAUGUUUUCUUGGUUAAGGACCCAAACUUUAUGGAUC